rnacentral:sRNA from 1 species
AAGUUGCUGCAGCUGCUGCUGCAGCUGCUGCAGCUCCAGCUGCUGCAGCUGCUGUUGUUGCUGCUGCAGCUGCUGCUGCUGCAGCUGUCGCUGUUGUUGUUGCUGCAGCAGCAGCAGUAACUGCUGCUGCUGCUGCAGCUGUCGCUGUUGUGGUUGCCGCAGCAGCAGCAGCUUCUGCUGCAGCAGCAGCAGCUGCUGCUGCUGCAGCUGCUGUUGUUGCUGCUGCAGCAGCUGCUGCUGCAGCAGUUGUUGCUGCUGCAGCAGCAGCUGCUGCAGUUU